rnacentral:rRNA from 1 species
CCUACGGGUGGCAGCAGUGAGGAAUAUUGGUCAAUGGACGAGAGUCUGAACCAGCCAAGUAGCGUGAAGGAUGACUGCCCUAUGGGUUGUAAACUUCUUUUAUAUGGGAAUAAAAUGUUCCACGUGUGGGAUUUUGUAUGUACCAUAUGAAUAAGGAUCGGCUAACUCCGUGCCAGCAGCCGCGGUAAUACGGAGGAUCCGAGCGUUAUCCGGAUUUAUUGGGUUUAAAGGGAGCGUAGGUGGAUUGUUAAGUCAGUUGUGAAAGUUUGCGGCUCAACCGUAAAAUUGCAGUUGAAACUGGCAGUCUUGAGUACAGUAGAGGUGGGCGGAAUUCGUGGUGUAGCGGUGAAAUGCUUAGAUAGCACGAAGAACUCCGAUUGCGAAGGCAGUUCACUGAACUGCAACUGACACUGAGGCUCGAAAGUGUGGGUAUCAAACAGGAUUAGAUACCCGGGUAGUC